GAUGAACGCUAGCGGCAGGCCUAAUACAUGCAAGUCGAACGAUACUUUGCAGCUCGCUGGAGAGGAAAGUGGCGCAAGGGUGCGCAACGCGUAUGCAACCUACCUUAAUCAGGGGGAUAGCCCGAAGAAAUUCGGAUUAACAUAGCCUAAAAUCACAGUAUAGCAUAAUAUAAUGUUAAAAUAUUAAUAGGAUUAAGUUGGGUAUGCGUGACAUAAGGUAGUUGGCGGGGUAACGGCCCACCAAGAACACGAUGUUUAAGGGAUCUGAGAGGGGGACCCCCCACACUUGUACUGAUACGCGGACCAGGCUCCUACGGGACGCAGCAGUAAGGAAUAUUUGUCAAUGGAGGCAACUCUGAACCAGCCAUGCCGCGUGCAGAAUUACAGCCCUCUAGGUCGUAAACUUCUUUUAUCCGGGAAUAAACCAAUCUACUUUUGUAUAGCUGAAUGUACUGAAGGAAUAAGGACCGGCUAACUCCGUGCCAGCAGCCGCCGUAA
rnacentral:rRNA from 1 species